rnacentral:lncRNA from 1 species
CGCCAGUCGCUGCCCCGGCAGAGGCCUGGCUCGCCCCGCCACCGCCCACCACGCCCGUUCCCCCUCCGCCGCCGCCAUCCGCCAUGGCUGUGCCCCGGGCGCACAAGGGAGAGCGACUAUAGCUUCUUCUCCAGGACAGAAGGCCUUGAACGUGUAGAGGUGGCGAAGGGGGCGGUGAAGGAGGAGGGCCCCAAGGAGGCAGCGGUGGAGGUGACGGUGAUGGUGGCAGCGGUGGCGAUGGCGGCGGGGACGGUGGUGGAGGCGGCCGCGGUGGCGGCGAAGGCCAGCUCUGAGACAGAAGCUGUGGUAUGGAAACUACCGCCUGGGAUUAAAGCAUCAGUGAAGAUGCUGCUUUGGAGGGAUUCAGAUUUUAGAGAAGAAAGGAGGUCAUGAGAGCUCAUUACUUUAUCACUGAACUGUUUAAAAAUCCACGUCUGAGAACCGUUUCACUUCUUAUGGAU